UCGGAUGUGGUGCACGGUGCACGCCCGCUUCUUUCCGCGAUGGAGAGUGGGAGCUCUGGGUUCAAUUCCCAGCGUCCGAA